rnacentral:rRNA from 1 species
CUGGCUCAGGAUGAACGCUAGCUACAGGCUUAACACAUGCAAGUCGAGGGGCAGCAUGGUCUUAGCUUGCUAAGGCCGAUGGCGACCGGCGCACGGGUGAGUAACACGUAUCCAACCUGCCGUCUACUCUUGGACAGCCUUCUGAAAGGAAGAUUAAUACAAGAUGGCAUCAUGAGUCCACAUGUUCACAUGAUUAAAGGUAUUCCGGUAGACGAUGGGGAUGCGUUCCAUUAGAUAGUAGGCGGGGUAACGGCCCACCUAGUCAACGAUGGAUAGGGGUUCUGAGAGGAAGGUCCCCCACAUUGGAACUGAGACACGGUCCAAACUCCUACGGGAGGCAGCAGUGAGGAAUAUUGGUCAAUGGGCGAGAGCCUGAACCAGCCAAGUAGCGUGAAGGAUGACUGCCCUAUGGGUUGUAAACUUCUUUUAUACGGGAAUAAAGUGGAGUAUGCAUACUCCUUUGUAUGUACCGUAUGAAUAAGGAUCGGCUAACUCCGUGCCAGCAGCCGCGGUAAUACGGAGGAUCCGAGCGUUAUCCGGAUUUAUUGGGUUUAAAGGGAGCGUAGAUGGAUGUUUAAGUCAGUUGUGAAAGUUUGCGGCUCAACCGUAAAAUUGCAGUUGAUACUGGAUGUCUUGAGUGCAGUUGAGGCAGGCGGAAUUCGUGGUGUAGCGGUGAAAUGCUUAGAUAUCACGAAGAACUCCGAUUGCGAAGGCAGCUUACUGGACUGUAACUGACGCUGAUGCUCGAAAGUGUGGGUAUCAAACAGGAUUAGAUACCCUGGUAGUCCACACAGUAAACGAUGAAUACUCGCUGUUUGCGAUAUACAGUAAGCGGCCAAGCGAAAGCGUUAAGUAUUCCACCUGGGGAGUACGCCGGCAACGGUGAAACUCAAAGGAAUUGACGGGGGCCCGCACAAGCGGAGGAACAUGUGGUUUAA